rnacentral:rRNA from 1 species
UUCCGCCAAAAGAUGAAAAGUAAUUCCUGCCCAGUGACUAAGUUCAACGGCCGCGGUAUCCUAACCGUGCAAAGGUAGCAUAAUCACUUGCCCAUUAAUUGUGGGCUAGAAUGAAAGGACUAACGAAAUAAAAACUGUCUCUAUAAGCCACAUAAAAAUUAAUCUCUAACUGAAGAAUGCUAGAUAUCGUCGAAGGACAAGAAGACCCUAUAGA